CUGGGCACUGACUCAACAUACUAAGGCAGCCAUGGUCAUGGUUUUUGUGGCCUCUGCUGUGUGGAGAGAGUGUUGCUCAGGGUUUGGAAGAUGGGAGCGACCAGCAGUCCAUAGGCUGCUCAGCUGUGCACUGAAUCUUGCUGGUUUCUGCACAGAGAAACUUUUCACGCCUCAUUUUGGGUCUUUGUUACAGAAAUUACAUUAAUCUUCGGUGAUGUCUUCAGCAGCCCCUUCCAACAUGUGCCAGUGGGACAGUUACAAGUCCAGGGAGAGACUCGAGAAACAUAGCUGAACACAUUAGACUAGAGCAAAGUGAAUGUCAUUACCCCACAUGCCUGUGGAUGCAGCUGUACGAGGCUUCUGUCAAAUCACCUGCUACUCCAUCCCUUCCUGCGUGAAGUUGAACUUAAUAUAACUUGAACUCAGACCUGUAAUUGCCCAAAGGCUCUGUUCCAUCAGAUGUGCCCGACAGGAGCAGUGGUGCUCGAUUUAUGUCAGAUUUCACUUUCUGUUGGCCCACAAUACCAGGCAUGACUUCAACAUCUUGUGUCCAUAUUUUGCUCAGUGCAUGGAUGAAAGGAAGGAAAAGGCUGCUCAAACUGGCAGGUUCUCCUAACCAUGUGUCCUUCUGGCAGCUGUGUGGAUGCGAUGGGGAUGGAAGCCCAGGACAGCCCAGUGAUGGAUAAGGUCUUCUGGAUGUUCUUUUCGGAUUUUGCAAAAGCCUUGUGAAGAAACUGCAAGGUCUCAGCAAGAAGACUGACUUUGCAUCAGAUCCAAGCCUCAGAGAGCCUCAAGCCCUGAGCUACUGCCAACCCACAGGGAAUGAGUCUGAAGGGUACUGUUUGGCAACAGUGGAACCCAAGAGAGUGUUUAGCUGUAGAUGCAAUAUGAAUUGUUCCUGCAGUUUAUUUUUACAUGCUUAGAGGGUGAAUGAAUUUGGAAGAUUUGGAGAGAAUCAGAGAAUUAGCAGAAUGAAUUAUUAUUGGUUAUUUAUACAAAAUGAGAAAUAUAUUUCCUGGUAGAACAUUGUGUGUCCAGGGAUGAUGAGAGGUGCUUUUGCAGAAAUGCUGGUGGGGAAAUAUUUAAAAGAAGAUUUUUUUCCCCCAAUAAGGAAGAGACCAAGAUACAGAAAAGUUCCCCAAUAUGGAGGCACCAUGGAAAGAUUGGUCUGUAGCAGGGAAACCUAGGCAGGAGAUGCUGAGAGUCUGGCAGGAGAGGACUGUGAAGCCCCAUUCCUGGCCAGUUUGGUUUGGAGGGCUAAAGUAUAUGUGGCUAAUCUUUUCAUGUCAGCUAUCCCACUGUGCAAGAGAGCUAUAGUGUACCCCUAUGAGGACAUUUCACCUGUAGAAACAAGAUAGCAAGAUAGGACCUGGCACCAAGGGACCCUCUUUGGAAACACGUGGUAGAGACAAAAUCAACACUGAAAGACUGUGAAAAAUAAAUGUACAAAGAUAUUCUAGGAUGUCUUUUAGCUUUUUGAAAGAAGAGGGAUACCCUAAGCAAAUGGGUAAACAGAACAGCCAGAAAGCUUUGGUAGGCAUGGGAGGAGCACAGGGGAAGACUUUGUUCCCUGGUUUAGCUGCUUCUUGGCACAGAAAACGGGAGCACUUUCUCCAAGGGGCCAGUGACACAGCCAGCCAUGUUUGUAGCCUUCAGCUGCAUGGCAAGAACACUGAAAGUAGUGUCCAUACAAAGUCAUCAAACUGUUACUGGAUGCAGCAUUAGGAUCUCAUCUACUGAAGCAAAAAUAGACACGUGGAUCCACCUUGGGCAUGCAAUACAUGAUUAAGAGCAUGUCACCUUUCUCCAUUUUAGCGUGUUUUUAACCAUGCUCAGUGGACAGGAUCAUCAGAAUAUAGAUUAACAUUACUGGUCAAAUUAUAUGAAAGUUGUGAAAUUUCUAAACCCUUCCCUCUUUUCUCUAAGUAAGUGCUGGUUUUAACAUUGCUUCUCAAACAAGGAGAUUAUUCAAACCAGUUUCUCGUUAGUCACAUCAUCACCAAACUAUGAGGUCUGAAACAAGUCAGACCAAAGCCUGUGUCUGCCCUAAUUGAGAAUAGGAGGAAUCUAAAGGGACCUGGAUUGUGUGCGAACCCUGUGGUGAUGGUAGUGAUGGCAGUGCCAGCCCUAAGCAUUCUGUUUUUAAGGUAUCUUGUGGACAUCCAUUGCUUAUGUUUGACAGUGCACUUGUACUGGGUAUUCCCAGGCACAUGGGACCUUCUACAGACUGAAGGGCAUCCUCAGGUGAUGGGGCUGGAGGCCUAGCAGCUAUAUGGGUGGUGAAAUCAGCCUGGAGAGAGUCCCGAAGUGCCACAGGGGAAAGGCACAGUGGAUGUGCUGCACAUGUGAAUGAGAGUGUUCACACACACACAUGCGUGUAUAUGCAAUAUUGGUCCCUCCUGUGAUAAAUGGCUCUAAGUGAAGCUUUGUGAAAUUUUGAAUUUCUGUUUUUCAGAACAGAGCAAACUGUGGCAAAAAACCAGGAAAAAUUGUUUCCUGGAAUUAAAACAGUCAUGUUCAGAAAUGUUUCCAUGUUCCGUUUUGACAUUUUUUGGAUCAAAGUGAAGCAUUUUGACAUUUGUGAGGACCUUCUUUGGGUCUGACUUCCUUGAUGCCUGACUGCUCUCUGGCUUCCUCCCUCUCCUACUGACAAGCUGAGACCAUCCCACAGUGGGAUGCAAAGUAAAUGCAGACUGACCACCUGAAGAGCUCUGCAUCACCAAGCAUGGGGAAGAAUAAUGUGCUCACCAGAUACAUAGCUGGUAAUUUAUCCACUGGAAGGGAGAGGUCUGCAGGAGCCAAAGAAAUCAGCUCCACAGACACCUGACCUAGGGACUAUUGCAGGACUGUCUCCAGAUUAUUCUUUGAAGAUGACACACCAGGAAAGUGCACCUAUACCAACCGAAGCACCCAGACCACUAUGCUGAAGAGUUUGGCAUGCAUUUUCAAUUGUGAAGAUUCAGGUGUGCACUGAUACAACUCGUCCAAACUCAACAGAGCUGAUCCUGAUGUACACAAGGACACUCAUAUUCAGAUUACCCAGCUCUCCCCCUCCUCUUCCCCUCAAGGUCUUUCUGCUCAUGUCAUGUGGAAUGGCAUAAGUUCAGGUAUGGAUCAGAGAGACUUUGAAAUGGAAAAUCAGAGGAUACUGCAGGCCAUAUUGGAGAAGAGCUGGCAGAGUGGUGAGGGUUAGGACUAAGAUAGGCUUGUAUGGGGUGCUGUGUUUGGAGUCCCAGAGGCCAAAAAUAAUGAAUACUUGCAGAACUCCAUGUGAGUAACAAAUGGCUUAUCCUGUCUAGUCUAAUGAUAAAAUGUUACAUAGUGGGAUUUUAAAAAUAAAUAUGUUUGGUUUGGGGUUUUU